CAGAGGGCGAACGGAGCCUUCCUCCUCCUCUUUCUUCUUCCUUGUUUUAGGGUUUAUCACAAAGAGAAGAGACCGCCAUUAGUCGUCGAGUUCGUGUCUCUUUCUCCGAAUUGCUGCAGAUUGGUGGCAAGGAUUGAACUGCAACGAACAACUAAUCUCCAGUUAUGGGGGAAGUGAAUUUCAUGCAAGAGGAAGAUAUUCGGUUGGAGACUACGCGAGCGAGAUGUAUCUAAG